rnacentral:rRNA from 1 species
AGUGAACGCUGGCGGUAGGCCUAACACAUGCAAGUCGAACGGCAGCACAGGAGAGCUUGCUCUCUGGGUGGCGAGUGGCGGACGGGUGAGGAAUACAUCGGAAUCUACUCUGUCGUGGGGGAUAACGUAGGGAAACUUACGCUAAUACCGCAUACGACCUACGGGUGAAAGCAGGGGAUCUUCGGACCUUGCGCGAUUGAAUGAGCCGAUGUCGGAUUAGCUAGUUGGCGGGGUAAAGGCCCACCAAGGCGACGAUCCGUAGCUGGUCUGAGAGGAUCAUCAGCCACACUAGAACUGAGACACGGUCCAGACUCCUACGGGAGGCAGCAGUGGGGAAUAUUGGACAAUGGGCGCAAGCCUGAUCCAGCCAUACCGCGUGGGUGAAGAAGGCCUUCGGGUUGUAAAGCCCUUUUGUUGGGAAAGAAAUCCAUCUGGUUAAUACCCGGAUGGGAUGACGGUACCCAAAGAAUAAGCACCGGCUAACUUCGUGCCAGCCGCCGCCGUAA